AGAGAAUAAAUAAAUCAUGGAAACAAAUGAAAAAGAAUAUAAAUGAGCAAUAAGAAACUCCUAAGACACAUGCCAAAGAAGAGAUACUAACUGGGAAAAUUCACAUGUACAUAAGGAGUUUAAAUGGGAUUCUGAUAGAAGAUGAGCAGCUUGUAGUACACCCAGUUUGACACAUACCGAGUUCCCACGGUAAAGCUGGCAUACCUGCACUGGGAGCUUCAGACUUUACCUGCCUUCAUCUGUAGCAAGACUUGGUUCCUUUUUAAAAAGAAGUUUUAUCCUGUCAGACUUUGUGUCAAUCUACACAGUUAAGAGCUUCAAUGAUCAACUCCCAGAACACAGGUCACCAUUACGUAUGAUGGCUGGAGAUGGCUGGACACCUGCCUGUCCAUGGGAAGUACUGAAAGAAUUCCUCGUUUUGCUUUGUUUGUGUGUGUGGCUGUUGCUUCACCUGUUAAAGUGUGUUUAUCUCAGCCCAUGAGGUUUCUCACUUUUACACUUCUGAUUCUCUCCCAAUUGUCCUGGCCCA